AUGGGAGGGCUCUGCUGUACCUUGCAGACGAAAUGUCUGUUGAACAAAAAGACUCACAAGACAGUGAAGGUUUCUAUCAUCAGAUCUGUGCUUGAUGUUACAAGGGACCCACCAGACCUUGGAAAUUCAGUACUUCAAUCAGCUGUCAUGACUAGCUCAGAUUUGAAUGACUCUACCAUUGAAUUCCUGCAGAACCUCAACGACACAACACGCACCUCUGAGGGUACAACCCCUGAGCACUACCAGUCUGUUUCAGCUACCAUAUGGAUAUAUUUCUUUACCACCAGCCCAUUGGUCAAUAGUGCUGCUGAGACAAGAUCCUACAAAUCGUAAGUGGUGGGAAUGAGGGCUGGGACUGUGCUGAGAUACUGUCAAACUGUGGAGAGAGAGAGAACAUGGCUGACUUUCUGACAAGUCAUUGGUUAGGCUGUGACUAAAUCACUUUCUGCUACUGUUGGGUGGCUGAAUUCAGCCCACAAACCCAAUCAGAACACAAGCCCAUGAAUUGGGGCAGU
rnacentral:lncRNA from 1 species